rnacentral:lncRNA from 1 species
CUGGCUUUGGUUCAGGUUUUGGCUCUGGAUAUGGUUUUGGCUCAGGUUUAGGUUCAGGCUUUGGUUCAGGUUUGGGCUCUGGCUUAGGUUCUGGGUAUGGUUUGGGUUCCGGCUUCGGUUCUGGGUGUGGCCUAGGCUCCGGCUUAGGCUCUGGUUUUGGUUCUGGCUUAGGCUCAGGCUUAGGCUUUGGUUCAGGGUGUGGCAUAGGCUCUGGCUCUGGUUUUGGUUCUGGCUUGGGCUCUGGUUUUGGUUCUGGGUAUGGCUUAGGCUCUGGUUUUGGUUCAGGCUUCGGCUCAGGCUUAGGUUCUGGGUGUGGUUUAGGCUCAGGCUUGGGCUCUGGUUUCGGUUCUGGCUUAGGUUCUGGGUGUGGUUUAGGCUCCGGCUUUGGCUCUGGUUUCGGUUCUGGCUUUGGCUCCGGCUUCGGUUCGGGGUAUGGCUUGGGCUCUGGCUUUGGUUCUGGUUUCGGUUCUGGCUUCGGCUCAGGGUGUGGCUUAGGCUCUGGCUUGGGCUCGGGUUUUGGCUCAGGUUUUGGUUCAGGGUGUGGCUUAGGCUCUGGCUUGGGUUCAGGUUUUGGCUCAGGCUUUGGUUCAGGUUUAGGCUCCGGCUUGGGCUCAGGUUUUGGCUCAGGCUUUGGUUCUGGUUCAGGUUUAGGCUGAGGCUUGGGCUCAGGUUUUGGUUCUGGGUAUGGCUUNN